UAUUUAUAUAAUAUAAAAAUUAUAUUUGACUUCCAAUCAAAAAAUCUAAAAAAAAUUAGUAUAAAUAA
rnacentral:tRNA from 1 species